GACGAACCGUGCAAACGUUGUUCGGAAUCACUGGGCUUAAAGGGCGCGCAGGCGGCUCGCCAAGUCGGGGGUGAAAUCUUUCGGCUCAACCGGAAAAGUGCCUUCGAUACUGGCGGGCUAGAGGGAGGUAGGGGCAUGCGGAACUUCCGGUGGAGCGGUGAAAUGCGUUGAUAUCGGAAGGAACGCCGGUGGCGAAAGCGGCGUGCUGGACCUCUUCUGACGCUGAGGCGCGAAAGCUAGGGGAGCAAACGGG
rnacentral:rRNA from 1 species